UACAGAGGCCUCGAGCGUUAGGCGGAAUCACUGGGCUUAAAGCGUGUGUAGGCGGACUUCUAAGUACCUUGUGAAAUCCCACGGCUUACCCGUGGAACGGCUGUGUAUACUGGUUGUCUUGAGCCACUUAGGGGCUACCGGAACAAAUGGUGGAGCGGUGAAAUGCGUAGAUAUCAUUUGGAACGCCAAUGGUGAAAACAGGUAGCUGGGAGUGUGCUGACGCUGAGACACGAAAGCCAGGGGAGCGAACGGG
rnacentral:rRNA from 1 species